rnacentral:rRNA from 1 species
GGGUCAGCAGGUUGGUCGUGCCAAUGGUAUGCACUGGCCUUGCUGAUUCCUCCCUCUUGAUGAGCCGUAAUGUCAUUAAUUUGGUGUUGCGGGGAAUCAGGACUGUUACUUUGAAAAAAUUAGAGUGUUUAAAGCAGGCAAGCGCUUGAAUACAUUAGCAUGGAAUAAUGAAAUAGGACGUUUGAUCCUAUUUUGUUGGUUUCUAGGAUUGACGUA